GCUGGGUGUGGUGGUGUACACCUGUAAUCCCAGCAGCCCAGAGGCUGAGACAGGAGGAUUGAGAGCUCAAAGCCAGCUUCAGCAACUUCAAGGCCCAAAGCAACUCCGCCAGACCAUGUCUCUA
rnacentral:sRNA from 1 species